rnacentral:rRNA from 1 species
CGAGUGGCGAACGGGUGAGUAAUAUAUCGGAACGUGCCCAGUCGUGGGGGGAUAACGUAAGCGAAAGCUACGCUAAUACCGCAUACGAUCUAUGGAUGAAANCGGGGGGAUCGCAAGACUCGCGCGAUUGGAGCGGCCGAUAUCAGAUUAGGUAGUUGGUGAGGUAAAAGGCUCACCCAAGCCGACGAUCUGUAGCUGGUCUGAGAGGACGACCCAGCCACACUGGAACUGAGACACGGUCCAGACUCCUACGGGAGGCAGCAUGGGGAAUUUUGGACAAUGGACGCAAGUCUGAUCCAGCCAUUCCCGCGUGCAGGAUGAAGGCCCUCGGGUUGUAAACUGCUUUUGUACGGAACGAAAAGGUUUCUAUUAAUACUAGGAGCUCAUGACGGUACCGUAAGAAUAAGCACCGGCUAACUACGUG